UACAACUUUCAACAACGGAUCUCUUGGCUCUCGCAUCGAUGAAGAACGCAGCGAAAUGCGAUAAGUAAUGUGAAUUGCAGAAUCCAGUGAAUCAUCGAAUCUUUGAACGCACCUUGC
rnacentral:rRNA from 1 species